rnacentral:rRNA from 1 species
UACGAAGGGGGCUAGCGUUGUUCGGAAUCACUGGGCGUAAAGCGCACGUAGGCGGAUCUUUAAGUCAGGGGUGAAAUCCUGGAGCUCAACUCCAGAACUGCCUUUGAUACUGGGGAGCUUGAGUCCGGAAGAGGUGAGUGGAACUCCGAGUGUAGAGGUGAAAUUCGUAGAUAUUCGGAAGAACACCAGUGGCGAAGGCGGCUCACUGGUCCGGUACUGACGCUGAUGUGCGAAAGCGUGGGGAGCAAACAGG